ensembl:misc_RNA predicted gene, 27976
GUGACUUGUACCAAACUGACCCCACUGAAGACUGAAAUGCUCUCUCUAUCCACAGAACAGAUACAGCCCGGGAAGCGGCAGUGUAACGUGCCAAUGUGCCUAAACCCCGACCUGGAGGGACAGCCAUUGAGGACAAGAGGUUGGUUGAGUCUCAGAGUCUCAGACUGUGGAGCUGAA